rnacentral:rRNA from 1 species
UACGGGGGGGGCAAGCGUUGUUCGGAAUUACUGGGCGUAAAGGGCUCGUAGGUGGCCAACUAAGUCAGACGUGAAAUCCCUCGGCUUAACCGGGGAACUGCAUCUGAUACUGGAUGGCUUGAGUUUGGGAGAGGGAUGUGGAAUUCCAGGUGUAGCGGUGAAAUGCGUAGAUAUCUGGAGGAACACCGGUGGCGAAGGCGGCAUCCUGGACCAACACUGACACUGAGGAGCGAAAGCCAGGGGAGCAAACGGG